rnacentral:rRNA from 1 species
UACGUAGGGUGCGAGCGUUGUCCGGAAUUAUUGGGCGUAAAGAGCUCGUAGGCGGUGUGUCACGUCGAUCGUGAAAACUUACAGCUUAACUGUGAGCGUGCGGUCGAUACGGGCAUCACUGGAGUUCGGCAGGGGAGACUGGAAUUCCUGGUGUAGCGGUGAAAUGCGCAGAUAUCAGGAGGAACACCGGUGGCGAAGGCGGGUCUCUGGGCCGAUACUGACGCUCAUGCACGAAAGCGUGGGGAGCAAACAGG